rnacentral:rRNA from 1 species
AACGAACGCCGGCGGCAUGCCUAACACAUGCAAGUCGAACGAGACCUUCGGGUCUAGUGGCGCACGGGUGCGUAACGCGUGGGAACCUGCCCUUAGGUUCGGAAUAACUCCCCGAAAGGGGUGCUAAUACCGGUUAAUGUCUUCGGGCCAAGGAUUUAUCGCGUUUGGAUGGGCCCGCGUUGGAUUAGCUAGUUGGUAGGGUAAAAGCCUACCAAGGCGACGAUCCAUAGCUGGUCUGAGAGGAUGAUCAGCCACACUGGGACUGAGACACGGCCCAGACUCCUACGGGAGGCAGCAGUGGGGAAUAUUGGACACUGGGCGAAAGCCUGAUCCAGCAAUGCCGCGUGAGUGAUGAAGGCCUUAGGGUUGUAAAGCCCUUUUACCCGGGAUGAUAAUGACAGUACCGGGAGAAUAAGCUCCGGCUAACUCCGUG